rnacentral:rRNA from 1 species
AACGAACGCUGGCGGCAUGCCUAACACAUGCAAGUCGAACGAAGCCUUCGGGCUUAGUGGCGCACGGGUGCGUAACGCGUGGGAAUCUGCCCCUUGCUUCGGAAUAACAGUUAGAAAUGACUGCUAAUACCGGAUGAAGUCUUCGGACCAAAGAUUUAUCGGACAGGGAUGAGCCGGCGUAGGAUAAGGUAGUUGGUGGGGUAAAGGCCUACCAAGGCGAAGAUCCUUAGCUGGUCUGAGAGGAUGAUCAGCCACACUGGGACUGAGACACGGCCCAGACUCCUACGGGAGGCAGCAGGGGGGAAUAUUGGACGAUGGACGCAAGACUGAGCCAGCAGUGCCGCGUGAGUGAUGAAGGCGUGAGGGUUGUAAAGCUCUUUUACCAGGGAUGAUAAUGACAGUACCUGGAGAAUAAGCUCCGGCUAACUCCGUG